rnacentral:lncRNA from 10 species
GCUGAGAUUGUAACACCAGAUGAGCCUCCAUUUCAUCCCGCUACACCUGGAGAAGCUCCUGUGGGAGGAAGACUCAUGGAGACACUUUAAACUGGAAGCAAGAGACCCCAGGGAAGAGUGUUCUUAGGCAGAGGGAACAUAACAUGCUAACGUGCUAUGAGGGGGUAAGUUUGGCUCACAGGCGCCAAACAGGUAAGUGACAGUUCCAGGUAUCUUCAGUCUGUUUAUGAAGCACAUACUGGUGUACACGCAGCUACUGUUCAUUUCUUUACGCAUUUUUAAUGUUAUAUUUUGAGACGAUUGCAGAUUCACAUGCAGUUGUAAGAAAUGAUGCAGAGGGAUUCCAUGUACCCUUCACCAAGCCUCCCACAAUGAUACAAUCUCUUUAUUCCAUGUCUGCACGCCCUCCAGCUCACACCGUGGGGCCUCUAACCUUCCACCAUGGUCCUCCCCUGGACUCUCUGUGUGUGCAGAUCCUCUUCUGGAGCAGAACUGGGUUGUCACAGGCCUGGAGCGUGUGUUUGGAAGGUUCUGACUUUGCUGUCUUGGGAAUCAGUUGCCAACAAGGGUGACCAAGCUCCUCAGCUAGAGACAGGCCAUGUCCAGAGGCCCUGCAGGAGGACAUACCCCCUAGAGGGAGAGGCAAGGGUAGGAGAGCCAGCCUCCCGCCCCUAGAGGGAGAGGCAAGGGUAGGAGAGCCAGCCUCCCGCUGACAGUGAGCACCAAGGCCUGGAUGCAGGAUGCCUGCCUGGAGAACAUCCGGCCCAGCCCAGCCCGGCUGCCCGCUGAACCCAGCCUCCUUGUGAAUGGUGUGUAUAGCGGAACUGUCCAGGCCAACGCAAAAGCAUGGGAAAUAGAAAGUCCUUAUGGUUUUAUGCCACUUAAUCUGGGGGUCAUUUGUUAUAUCUCAAUUGAUAGAUGAAACUCAUGCCAGCUUCCUGAUUUUAGGAAGAGUUGAUCCAAUUUGUCUGGUGCUCAGGAUCACAAAUAUCUCAAACAAUGCUCAUUGGUACUCAGUCUCUAAAAAUUCUAUUGAUAUUUUUCUUAAGAAACAUAGUUCUUGAUGACUAUCUUCUUGAAGACAUAGACACGCACCACUACCACAUUCAUUAAUAAUAAUAAUAACAACAACGACAACAAAACUAGUAUAUUGUGAUUUGCUUGGAGUGGCCAGCUUCAGGAGGGAAAUGAAUAACUGUUUUCCAGACUCAAGGAAGAUUCAACUCGAGAUGUAACAUUAGGCAGGCAGGCAGGCCAGUGUUGAAGCACUGGUUUACUGGGCCGGAGAUGGGUAGUUCACAGACUCCAUGCAUGGUUUGACUAUGAAAGAGGAGUCCAUGAACACAGAUUACAUGUUCAUUCUCUCAAUGCAGUUUUUGGCUAGGUUGCAUUAAUACAUAUUCAUCAAUAGAUCAGUAGAAAAACGCUGAGCUCUGUUAAUCAUACUAUAGAUCUGUAGUCAAAAGGUGUUUUUUUUUUAAAGGUGUUUUUGAGGAGAAGUAAUGUGAAAAAGGGAGCAAAC